ensembl:lncRNA novel transcript
ACACACAUCACACACCUUGAUGCUCACAGUCACAGCCUGGCCUCUGCUCCUGUGGGCCAGUGGCCAGACACCCCCUGGGAUGGCUCAAAGGAGUCAGGACUUGGAAGUGGGGACAUCAGGGUAGCUGAAGGAAAUCCACACACCCAGAACAUCUCGGGGUUCAGACUCUCUGACCUGAGAAGUACCUUUCGCCUCCCACCAUGAUUCUGAGGCCUCCCCAGCCAUGUGGAACUGGAAGGAUUCUGGAAGACAUAGGAGGAGACGCCAGCAUUUCGCCCUCCAGCACCUCCUGCGGGCUGUGGUCCGCUUCCGGCCUCACUCGAGCAGACCCCGCCCUCCCAGAGGCCGUUUGUCCAAGUCACGUGAUCGUCGAAUCUGUUGACCUGGCGCCACCGGAAAAAGAAAUUCCCGGGCCCUGGCUUCUUGGCCUGAUGGUGAGGCACCAGAGGUGAAGCGAGGCAUGGGCUGCUGGAGCGGGAAUGAGGGGGCGACAGUGGCUCCGGAAACGGGGGGAGGGUGUCUUCACUGGCCUCUCCGCAAACACAGUGUGUGC